rnacentral:rRNA from 1 species
UACGGGGGGGGCAAGCGUUGUUCGGAAUUACUGGGCGUAAAGGGCUCGUAGGUGGCCAACUAAGUCAGACGUGAAAUCCCCGGGCUCAACCUGGGAAUUGCGAUGGAGACUGCAAGGCUAGAAUCUGGCAGAGGGGGGUAGAAUUCCACGUGUAGCAGUGAAAUGCGUAGAGAUGUGGAGGAACACCGAUGGCGAAGGCAGCCCCCUGGGUCAAGAUUGACGCUCAUGCACGAAAGCGUGGGGAGCAAACAGG